GAUGAACGCUGGCUACAGGCUUAACACAUGCAAGUCGUGGGGAAACGGCAUUAUGUGCUUGCACAUUCUGGACGUCGACCGGCGCACGGGUGAGUAUCGCGUAUCCAACCUGCCCCUUACUUGGGGAUACCCCGUUGAAAGACGGCCUAAUACCCGAUGUGUUUCAUUGACGGCAUCCGAUAUGAAACAAAGGUUUUCCGGUAAGGGAUGGGGAUGCGUCUGAUUAGCUAGUUGGCGGGGCAACGGCCCACCAAGGCGACGAUCAGUAGGGGUUCUGAGAGGAAGGUCCCCCACAUUGGAACUGAGACACGGUCCAAACUCCUACGGGAGGCAGCAGUGAGGAAUAUUGGUCAAUGGACGCAAGUCUGAACCAGCCAAGUAGCGUGCAGGAUGACGGCCCUAUGGGUUGUAAACUGCUUUUAUGUGGGAAUAAAGUGGCGCACGUGUGCGCCAUUGCAUGUACCUCAUGAAUAAGGACCGGCUAAUUCCGUGCCAGCAGCCGCGGUAAUACGGAAGGUCCGGGCGUUAUCCGGAUUUAUUGGGUUUAAAAGGAGUGUAGGCGGUCUGUUAAGCGUGUUGUGAAAUUUAGGUGCUCAACAUUUAACUUGCAGCGCGAACUGUCAGACUUGAGUACACGCAGCGCAGGCGGAAUUCAUGGUGUAGCGGUGAAAUGCUUAGAUAUCAUGAGGAACUCCGAUCGCGAAGGCAGCCUGCGGGAGUGUUACUGACGCUUAAGCUCGAAGGUGCGGGUAUCGAACAGG
rnacentral:rRNA from 1 species